rnacentral:lncRNA from 1 species
ACAGAUAAACAGAUCUCAAAUUUCAAUUUCGAAGGUCCGAAAAGUUAGGUCAUUAUUGAGAAUGAUCUGCGACUUUUGUUAUGAAAUUAUAAGGUUUUAUCAUGUUAAGUAUGGUAAUUGUGAAAUUAUGAGUUUUUACUAUGUUAGGUGUGGUAAUUGUUAGUGAAAUGAGUUAGGUGUGCUUGAAUAGAUUAAGUUAGGUUUAUAUUUGGUUAGUGGAACAAAUGUGUGACCAUGAUAUAAUCGGCUUUGUUUAUCUGUGUGGUGUGGAUUGAUCAUGGACUAGUAUAAGUUAAGAGGGAACACACUUUUCUUCACUUUUUUCUCUCCAAAUUCUUCUCUUCCUCACUCUAUCUUAAUUAUGCUUUAAUAUUUUGUAAUAUAUUUUCAAUAAAUAAAUUUAUUUU